UCGGCAGCAUACAAAAUAAAAUAUUCAAAAGCAUAAAACAGCUUAUAACUGAAAUUGAACUGCUUAAAUUCAUUUAUAAAAAUAAAGAGUCCACUCACUGGUAGUCCGAGCUCACUGGACCUCUUAAAGAUCCCUCCUGCGGGUCAACUGGUGCCCGGGUGCCUGAUUCAAUUAUUCUAUUAAUACAAUAUAGUAUUAAUUUAAAAACCCUGACCCCCGGCUCCUAAAAGUAUGUGCGUCAAAUUAAAGUUAUCCCUAUGCCCAUAAAAGCUUUCCUUC
rnacentral:lncRNA from 1 species